rnacentral:rRNA from 1 species
UGAGGAACAUGACCUUCGGCGGGGGAUAGCCGGCCCAACGGCCGGGUAAUACCGCGUACGACCACAUGGGGACAUCCCUGAGUGGUGAAAGCAGCAAUGCGCCGAUGGAGUGCCUCGCGGCCUAUCAGCUAGUUGGUGAGGUAACGGCUCACCAAGGCGACGACGGGUAGCCGGCCUGAGAGGGUGACCGGCCACACGUGGGACUGAGACACGGCCCAGACCUCCCGUACGGGGAGG